rnacentral:lncRNA from 1 species
CCGCAGGAACGACCCAAGAAAUAGCAAAAAGGACAAAAAAAAAAAAAAAAAAAAAAAAAAAAAGAAAUGUUAGGCAUAGUGUUCAUUCACUUAAAGAAAGUUAUAUUUAAUGAGGAAUACACAUAGCUAAUUGUUUAACAGACUGUAGCAUCAGUGUUUGUGAGUGUAUGUUGAGCUGAGAAAAGCCUAGCAUUUUACUUUAUUUUGCUUUUUAGGGCCACACCUGCAGCAUAUGGCAGUUCCCAGGCUAGGGGUUGAAUUGGAGCUGUAGCUGCCGGCCUACAUAACAGCCACAGCAAUGCGGGAUCCCAGAGACGUCUGUGACCUAUACCACCCCUCACGGUAAUGCUGGAUCCUUCCACCAAGCAGGGCCAGGGAUCAAACCCUCAUCCUUAUGGAUACUAGUUGGUUUAUUUUCCACUGUGCCACAAGGGGAAUUCCCAAGUCUAGCAUUUUAGCAAUGAAUAUAUGUAAAGAUCUUACCUUUUGCCUUUAAGUCGUUUUCUGAUAUUAGAUAUACAUAGAACUUUAUUACAAGCUAUAUGAAAGAAUUUAUAAGCCCAGCCCAACUAUAUUUCAGUGAAAAACUUAUAUGUGAAUCAUGCGUCUUGGGUUGUAUAACAGAGUUUUUCCCACACUAGAGUUAUAUAGAUGCCUCUUACAAGCUACAUGAAGGAAAUUUUUGGCACAUUCAUCAAUGAAAAAGUUAUAUACAGUGAGAAAUGCAUGUGGUGAAUUAUUUAACAGACCUAUAACUUCAAAGUUUCCAUGCAUGCACUGUAGUUAUGAAAAGAAUAGUUUUAUAAUAAGGAAUACAUAUAAAAAUCUUCUGUUUGCAGAUGAAGCUAUAUUUUCAGAUAUGAUAGAUUGUCAUUACAAGCCAUAUGAAAGAAAUUUUAGGCACAGUGUUCUUUCAGUGAAAGGAAAUUAUAUUCUGUGUCAUGCAUGUAGUAGACUUUAUAAUUUUGUAAUAACCUGUAGCUCUAAUGUUUAUAAAGCUACUUUGACUCUGCAUGAAGUCCAGUGUUCUAACAGCAAAUAGAUGUGAACACCUUUUGAGUCUGUGUAAUAAUGUUCUAAAUUUGAUAUAUAUUGAUGUUUGUUACAAGCUAUGUGAAAAAAUUUUGGACAGUGUUCUUUCAGCUAAUGGAGGUGUCCUGCAGCGAGUCUUAUUUAACAAAUUUGUAACACUUGUAAGUAGGAUUGCUUAGAAGCUACAGUAUGUUCAGUGUUCUAAUAGCAAAUGGAUAUGGAAGUCUUUCCCAUUGUAUAUAAAGAUUUGUCACACACACACAUACAUGUAUAUAAAAAUUAUAUAUAGAGUGUUAUAUGCAUACAUAUAGUGUAUAUAUAUGUGUAUGUGUGUGUAUAUAUAUAUGUUAUAUUAUUACAAGCUAAUGAAAGAAAUUUUUGACCUAUAUCACUACUUAGUUUCUAAGGCUACUUAGAAGCUGUGCUAAGCCCUGCGUUCUAACAGUGUAGGAAAUUGAAAUCCUUUCCCUUUAUCUGUAAAGGCUUGUUCACAUGUUAAUAUACAUAUUUGUCAUGAAAUUAAUUUUUGGCAAAGUGUUUUUUCAGUGAAAGGAGGUUGUACACAGUGAUCCAUGUCAGUGAACAGUUUAACAGUUAUAGAACACUUGUGUUUCUAAAGCCUUCUUUAAAUUUUUUCUUUUUAGGGCCACACCUGCAGCACAUGGAGGUUCUCAGGCUAGGGGUCUAAUCAGAGCUAUUCCUGCCAGCCUACGCCAGAGCCACAGCAGAGCAGCAUCCGAGCUGCAUCUGCAACCUACACUACAGCUCACGGCAACACCAUAUCCUUAACCCACUGAAUGAGGCCAGGGAUUGAACCCACAACCUCACGGUUCCUAGUCGGAUUUGUUUCCACUGCACCACGAUGGAAACUCCUCUAAAGCCUUUUAAUUCAAAGAGGAACCAAAGGAAAAAAAAACCCCCACAACUCCUGGGCUAUGCUGUAAAUUAAAAUGGGAUUUUACUAAAAUAACAUUCAAAUCUAUCAUGUGCUAUUUACAAUAAUAAAUAAUAGUCUUUCAAAAUAGGUAAAGGAGUCUUGGGAAUGAGGCAUCAGGGAGAUGGUGCCAGCUCACAUCAAGUCCCUAUGCUGCCUCUCUGCCACAGUGAAUGUCGCAUUGCCACUGGAUACACAUUUGCCCCUGAUUUUGAUGAGUGCCAAUUCUUCUUGGCCUUGAGUUUUCUUGCCCAGAUAGGACUUGGCCUCCAGCUAGCAGGACAAGAGGUAGGUAUAGGAGAGAGUGGUACCUGUGAGUUACCAGGAGCCACAAUUCAGGUGUCACUCACAGUGUCUGCCCAGCAGCUGGAAUUCCAGUGAUGGCCAUGCAACAAGGUCUGGGGAUGACCAAGAAGAUGUGAACUUGGGUUCUCUAAAUUGGCUGGUAGGGAGAGUCCACUCCACCUUCUCCCUUCUGCUCAGCCUCACCUCCCAUUCUCACUGAACCACUCCAUGUCUCAGAAUCAGACAUCAAAUUGCUCCUCAGGCUCCCUAUCUGUAGCCACCCAGAGCAACGUGAUCUCUGCCAUUACUGUGCAUUCCUGGGACCAGAGGGAAAGAGAUGAUGAAGGGGUGAGGAGAGAGGCAGGGCAUUGGUCCUGGGUCUUUGCACACAUGAGACUCUACCUUCCCUCCAUUUGCAUCGAGGCCCUACCUGUUCUCAGAAAUGGAAUAAAUUUCCUGCAGGAAAUUUUCCUUGGUGCCGUUCCUCAACCCACCCACCAGUUGGAUAGGUCUCCCACUCCUCUGUUAUUAAACUCUCCCUGUAAAUGUAAGGCACAGGGGAUGGAGACCUGGAGGUUUCUGCCCAGGGGUACUUCUGAUUUCUGUUCCCUUCCCCUCUUCCAUAGGAAGUGCCAAGCUCUUGCCUUAUUCUUUUUCUGGUGGUUGAUCUCAUUCUCCUCUAAGGUAGACAGACACCUGAAAGGGUCCCCUAGUCGUUACUAGCACCCUAUGCCCACCCUUUUCAUGUGGCACUACCAUCAGGCCUCACAAAGGGGCUGGGCUUGCCUAGAAAACGGGAUGUAAACCUUGGUCAGGUCGUGGCCCCCAAGAGCGUGGGACAUGGAGGCCGAGGCUCAGGGAUCUUGUAGCACAACCCUCAGUGACGACACUCAGGGAACCUGAGGCUUUAGGCUCCCUCUCUUCUUUGUUGCUGGACUUGUGGGUCCCCCAUAUCACUCUCACCCCAUGGACACCACCUGAAGGAGAGGCUAAGUCCAGCUUUGCGGUCAGGCAGAUCUACUGCUCUGCCAGCCUUGAAAACUGGGACCAGUGUGUAUUCUGUGGAGCCUCCUUUCACUCAUCUUUAAAAUGGACAUGAUGUCCCAGCUCACAGGGGUGGCGGGGAGCCUCUCCUCAGAGGUUUCCUGAGUGCUGACCAUUGAGGGCUCAGCAACAGGUCUCUCUCUUCCCAAACCUCAAUUCUGAUCCCCCUGGCCUAGCCCACAGGCCCCCUUACCUGGCCCAGAUAAUUCUCCCUCACCGGGCCCAGCAUGACCUGAUUAAUGAAGAUUGUGCUAAGGAAGGGGACAGACACCUGUGUCAUCAGGGAGGGGGGUGGGAUGAGCCUCUACUCCCAGAUUUGCCUGGGUCCCCUCUCUUGAAAACUCCUCACCCUCAGCUCCUGGCCUUGCCCCAGGUUUUCCUCAAGGAGCAGCCUAGGAGGAGCCUUAAUAAUCUCCUUUCAAUUUCCCUCCCCCCACCCUCCAAGAAUAUAAGACUCCUGUGCAGACCUUCUGUAGCAUCUUCUGGGCUUAAUGGAGGUUCACCAUCAAGGGGCGAACAUGGAGGGCUGCUCCUGUCAGGGCCGAGGACAGGGUCAUUGAGGCCAUACUACCCCCACCAACCUCCCAUUUUUGUCCAGUACCUGAGACCUCAGACCCUGACAUCUGAUCCAUGUUAGCUGAUACUCCAUUCUCCAGCAUGCUCUGAUUCUAGACUAAUCCCACCUCCAACACUCACUCAGUGUGUGCUUUUGGCCCUGCAGCCUGCCCCUGCCCCCCAUGAGCCUAUUUCUUCAUCUGAAAAGUGUGGGAAUCCCACCUACCACAAGGGUCUUCUGAAGACUCCACCCUUCACACUGUGAUGCUGUCAUCAUUGUUCUUGUAUCAGCCUGCAGCUGGAUCGGGACAGAAAGAACCUCACAUUCCUGUCUUCCCUUUCACCUCAUCGCCACCCUGUGAGGCCCGCACCAGAGGCUUAUUAUCCCUCCGCUUUCCAGAUGAGGAGGCAGAGGCCAAAGAGAUGCAGUGAGGCUUAGGGGUCCACAGAGGACAGGCUGCACCUCCUGUUAGCCAGAGGCCCUGUUCCAGCUUCCCUCAUCCACCCCAGUCCCACCUGGAAUGAGAUGUCCUGUCCACUUGACUCUCAAGUUUGUCCAGGCCCCUAUCUGAGUGGAGCUGUGGAUGGAGAGGGAUGGGGUGGUUGGAAGUCUGGUUUUAGUUCCCUGCCUGCCCCAGAUCCGCUGGAGCCUCUGCCACUCAGGCUGGAACCAAAGCCAUGCUGAUGCCUUCCCUGCCCCAGGAUCAGCUUAUAACAUUCCCCUGUAUAGCAGUUUCUUUUUAUCUACUCAGUAACAUAACCCCUGAGGUACCGCCUCUGACUGAUGGGGUAGGAGGUGACAGAAACUUUGCUUGCUCCUUUACAUGAAGCUUCUGAAGUCCUUUCAGGAAAGGUCCACUAAGAAUCCAUAAGAUGCUCAGACACUUCUCAUCAGCCACCUGGGGCAUGUGUCACAGUUAACUAGGCACCCAGGUGAGAAUCCCGACUGUGACUGACUAGCAGCAACUGUGUGCGGGGCACAGUGGGGAGUCACAGACGGCAUGUAUAUCUUGUCUCUAUUCCAGCCAUUUGCAUCAUACACCUGGCCCAUGGGCUUCAUACACCUGGCCCAUGGGCUUCCCCUGCAGUACCCAUCCUUGGGGCAAGAAGGAUGCACUACCCUUGGAGGUGUGGUGAGUACAGAGGAGCUGCAGGAACCUGGGUUCCUGAGAACAGACUGGGUUGGUUUAGGGAAGAAAGUUGCCUCCUCCCACCCAUCCAUUCAACAGCCUAGAAAAAGCUAAGUGCCAGCAGGAUGGACCAGCAUGGAAGCCAAAGAUCUGCUAGUUUUGUUAUCUCAGCCUCCCCUCCUAGAAUAGCCCAGCCAUCACUUGACCUCAUUACUAAGAUCUCCUGCCCUUCAACCUGACUUUGGACAAAACUCUCCUUCUUCCUCUUAAGCCAGAAAAUACUGGAAUUUUUCAAAGAAUCUUUAGGCAAG